UCACCAGCAAGGAGACUUGUAGUAACAACGAAUGGUGAGAAGUCAGCCGAAGCCAUAGUAGCGGGCCAGUCCGUGAAGGGC
rfam:Eubacterium sp. 68-3-10 unitig_0:quiver, whole genome shotgun sequence.